CGUUCUAUUGCCGAAUUGGUAAAUCGCCGAUCACAGGCGAGGGUGCGGGUUCGAGUCCCGCUGGAACGA
rnacentral:tRNA from 1 species